ensembl:lncRNA
ACGUUGAGUCCUCAUGACGUCACGUUGAGUCCCCAUGACGUCACGUUGAGUCCUGUCAACGUCACGUUGAGUCCCAAGUAUGAGAUUUAGACUCGAGGGACGGCAUGAAUUUAUUGGAAGAUAAUAAUAAGUUAUCUUAUGCUGCUGCUUACCUUCCGCUGUCCCACUCAGCAGCUCUCCAAAGACAUCCAGAUGUUUUAAAAAGUAAAAACAAAGAAUAAAAAAAACACAGAACAGUGUCCCUUCCUCGUCCUCUUCCUCAGACCAGGGUUGUCCUCUUCUCUCUCUCCCGGCUCAGGUCCGGCGUCGGCGGCUCGCCUCGGCCGGCUUCAUUGCGGGUGGAGGCGGCGGGGGAGUUUUGCAUGACCACCAAGUGGAUGGGCGACUGGCCGGCUGCCGGAGGAGGAGGGGGAGGCGCUGCAGCGGCAGGAGAGGUGUCCGGCGCGUACUCCUUGGUGGGGUCUUUGCCCCGGCAGUCGUACAGGAUGCAGGAGAUGAGGAACACCAGGAGCAGGAUGACAUAGCUGGCCACCAGGAUGAUGAGGUUCAAGGUGACCGGGUCAAUCUCCAGGACACUCACCGCUGCCUCCUGUUCAAGAGUUCAAACGUCAGCAACCAAAACCCAAGAGGAACCAAGAGGAACCAAG